UCAAUACGCACCUCAUAGACCCCUUAAGGGCUGUCAAGUACCAGAUUAGCAGUCGUUUCUUCCCCGGAAGGUAUCAGAAUCAGAGGUUCCUACUACUCCUUUUUUUUGUCUUUCCAUGCCCCUUGGCAGUCCUCAUUCCAUCUGACCAUUUGAUUUCUUUCUUUUUUCGUUUGUUUAUGGUUCAGGCGUUUCUAGUACUGUUCCUUUUUUU
rnacentral:lncRNA from 1 species